CAUACCAUACGCUGGACUUGGAGCUCAACAGGAAGUUCACACUAGCUAAAGUAUGCUGGGAUAUCAUAGCACUAGAAAGAAUUGGAUCAGUUCUGUGAAUAUCUAUUCCAACAAGCUGUGAAGCUUGAAUUAAAAGUACUUUUGGAAAACAGACACAAAUUCAUCCAGGUACAUUCCUCUUCUGGUCACAAACAUGCACUGAAAGACCCAGAUCUUUCUACAAAGUUGGCUGAUACAAAGGCAGCUGGGGAGGUGAAAGCUCUGGGGCAAUUCUACACUACUCUAUGCAGAUCGAGCAUUGUAUGGGUAUGUGCUAACAGUUAAAAAAAAAUAACCUGUAAC